rnacentral:lncRNA from 1 species
AAAUACCACGAUGACAAGCAAAGCUUCCGCAAUGAAAGUAUUUUCCAAAAUUAAUCACUUUUCCUAAAAAAGACUUAAUCAAAUCGGUUUCUUAGAAAUAUACAUGACGUUAAGGUGUGGCAAUGGCGGUGUGCAUGUCUAGGAUUGGAUCUGAAGGGAGCUUGGUACUUAAGCAGUCCGAUGGACUCACCUCCUCUUUUCUGGUUUCCUACUUGGUGCACAGCUUCCAUCCACUUUAACCUAUAAUCAUCUUUUAAAACACUAAGUUUUUCUGGAUCAACAAUAUAAAAUGUUUUGAAUGCUUCGAUGUGGCAUGUCGGAUCCGACCAUAACGUCUGGGCCGAGUUUGGGGUGCUACAGCCAUGGUUGAAGAUAAGUUGAAAAUGAAGUGCUUGAGCAGGGUUAGCUUGAAACAAAGCCAUUUGGGACUGCAAGUUUAAAAAAUUGUUGAAUGAUUUGUAUUCGCAGCAUGGAGUCCAAGGAGGAGUGUUGAAAAUUGGCCAACCAUGCUGCUGUAAUAUUUCUGGAUGAAGCACAUGCUAGCAAUUGUGCAUCUUGCAGCAACAUAUUUUCUGUUUUAGUUGCAAUGUAAUUUAGUUUGGUUAAAAAUGAACUUUGAUGUUUAUGUUUUGAUGGGAUGAUUAAGCUGAUAAGUCAGCUUAUCCAUGUGUACAAGCAAUGUUUUAAUAGUCCCAAUACUGAUUAGUGGGGUUAGUUGAAUAUUUGGUGAUGCAUUUUGACUAUAACUGUAUUGUUUUCAUAAUGAAUGAGCAAGCAUAUCAGUUGUG